UUUAGGCAAACGCUGCAUUUAAUUAUGUAGAGGAAAGUCCAUGCUCACAAAAUCUGAGAUGAUUUUAGUGUUCACGCUAAGGAAAGAAAUAACCUUAGGUAGCUGAUGCUAACGGCUUUGAAAUAACCUACGGUGCAAACUAUGGUUAGAGUAAAUUUAAAAGUGCCAUAGAGACGAGCUUACUUAGAAAUGAGUAAGGUGGAACGUGGUAAACCCCGUGAGUGAGAAACCCAAAUUAUGGUAGGGGAGUUUUUUAAGGCGAAAUGAAGCUAUUAAAAGAUGCAAUUUUGUAAGAUAAAUGUUUGCCACCUAGAAAUAGGUACAGAACAUGGCUUAUU
rnacentral:RNase_P_RNA from 1 species